UAAUAUCUUAGAAAUGUCUUACAGUUAAUUCAUUCAUUCAUUCAUUCAUUCAUUCAAAUCUGUUUAGUAAUCAUGUAAGACACGGGGCUAAGCUGUAUGGCAUGGUGAUUUUUCUGACUUGGUGAAAUUUAACUUUCGUAAAUUGUCCACCUCAGACCUUCCUGUAUUAGUAUGAGACAUUAGAAUGCCAUUAGAGAAACUAUGUUUAACCCACUGUCUUGCUUCACUUUUUUUCUUCGUUGGCACUUAUUCUUCCCUUUGGUCCUUAAAGGUAAGCAAAUUCCUAAUUCCAGUGUAGGAUCCUAUGCUCCCCUUUCUUCUUUCUUCUUCCAAGCACACAACUAUCCUUACAUUUCUGCCAUAACUUCUGCGGAGUCCAAUCUUCUGAGCCAACUUCAGAUCCACAUCACCAACCCUCUCUCAUUUCCACUCAGCUAUCAAACUGUCAUUGAAAUAUUUAAAACAAAUUCUUUGUCUUUUCCUCUUCCAUCAACAUCCUUGGGCAAGUCCUUAGCGUUAAUAUGGGGGUAAUAAUCACCAUCUUCAGGAGCAGUUGUGAGAACUCGAGGAGUUAAAACAUGUAAAACACUUAAAACACUACCUCAUGUACAGUAAGUCCUCUUUGAAAGUUAAUUGUUAUAUUAGCUGUAGUGGGAUAAGGUUCACUGAGUUCUGAACUGAAUACUAAAUUAAGUGAAUUGUUUGUUAUCUUUUUUCCAAUUAGAUUAAUUUUUUAACAGCAAGGGUGUAUCUGACUACUUUUGCCAUGUCCAAGUACUGUCCUCAAAUUCAUCCUAUUGUUUCUUAAUUCACCUAAAGGUGGCUUCAGAGAGAAAUCAGCUGUGGUGUAGGGGACUGUGUCUGUGUGUCUGAGUGCCUUUUGAUUUCACUUCAUCUCAGCUCUUUGUUUUUGAGUGGCCAGAUCAGCUGAGUUUCUCACAUGUGAAUAGGUCACUGACAUAUUCAGCAUAAUUAGUAUAUAUUGUGGUACUGUUCUGCCCUUAGAGUACUAUCUCUUUGCUUUAUUCCCACUUAGCUGGCAUUUUCCAGAAGGACUUUCAUGAUGUUAAGAAAGACUAAAAAAGAAACGAGAUAAGGUACAGCACCUUACACUAGGUUUUGAAGACAUAGGUUUCUGAUUCUGUCGACAGCAGCAUCAAAGUGCUAGUGUGAUUUUCCAGGGAUGUAUGUGGGUUCUGGGUAUAAAGGACCUUCUGAGGGCCUAGCCCAGAGCGUGGCUCUGAACAUUAGUCCUCUUUCCCACCCCCAGCCUGUCUCUAUGUGGGAUGUUGCCACUUUUUCUCCUUGUACAAGAAAACAGACGUAUUGGUUCCAGCUUGCUCUUUCCUUGAACAAGUGUAAAGGUUCUUAUUCCUUUUGCUGCCUGACUAGACACAAGGAGGUUUGUAGUGUCUGCUGAUUUCCCCUGCUGACUUCAAAUGAUCAAUGUGGCACCACUGAUGGUGGAGGUGAGAGGGUACCUGAACAAUGGGCUCUUGUAAGCCAGUAUCAGCCGGCGCCAGCAUAUCUCUGCGACUCAUCCAUAGAACAUGGUGGCCAAUUACUCUGUGAGGUAGCCUGCCUUCUUGACAAAAUGAAUCAGCCUGUCCUUCAAAUGAAAUUCACCAGUUCCCCCCAAGCAGAGGACUAUGAUUGUGCCCUGGUUAUAUCUCUGAACUAUUCAUGAAUACCAUAUCCCUACAAGAAGAAUGAACCAUGUCUAGAAAAGUUCAUUCUUCCCAACCUACAAUAAAAAUGUACAUGGCAGUUCCAACAAAAGCAGAAAGACUAGUCACAGUCUGAGGGCUAAUAAUAAAAAUAGCUGCCGUGUUUUGCAUCAGCCAAGUACGGUGCUAAGAAGCUGUCGCAUUCCAUUCUCACCCCGUAAACCUGUGGUGAGACCACUAUUGUCAUCUCCAUUUUACAAAUGAAAACUACGCACAGCUAGUCAAAUGGCCAAACCAAGAUUCCAACCUGGUCUGUCUGCCCCAAAAGCCUGUGUUCUGAACCACUAAAGAAAAACAGGAAAAAAAUAAAUGGAGAGAUGACACAUCUCUCAGUUCUAUAACUCAAAGGAGAGGAUGAUCUUACAUAGUAACUGACACUACACCCUAACAUGGACCACCCCUUCAGGUUUGUUUCAAUAUCAACAAUACAUUACAUCCAUGUGGAGGCAUGAUGUGUGUGCACACAUAUGUAUACCCUCUGGCCUUCUGAUAAAUACAUCUCUCAGUGAGGGGUGUGUGUUCAGAAAGAUCAGAGGGCAACUUACACAUUUCUCACAGGGGCCUUACCUACAGGGGCAAGUCCCUACAUUUCAGAAAAUGGAUUUGUCAGACAUUCAGAGUUGACCUGAUGCAGGAAGACCAACCUACACUAAACUCACAAUAGGGUGAUGCUUACAUUCAGUGAGUAUCACUGCUGACUGAAAUACUUGUGUUCACCAGUAUUUCAUGGUGACAAAGACUACUGGUUGGAGCUGAGUAUCUGUAAAAGGUAAUGGUAGUCGUUCAUAUGGUUAUUUAACAAAUAUUUAUUGUGUAUCUACCUUGUGCCAGGCAGUAUGUCACAGAAUAAGGAACACAGUAGUGGCACUCUUCCAUUUAGGCAUUGGUCAAUUGUGGACAGAGCUGGAAAGACUUCCAAAUUCCACUUUUCCAAACUUCUUGCAGACCAUCUGCCUGGUAUCCACACAUUCCUCUAAGUUAUUGCUGCUGGUUAAGUUAUAGAUUUCUUUCCAAUUUAACUCAAAAGCCUUGCCAAAUUGAUUUCUCAUCCUGAAACACAUACUGACAUUUAAAGGGACUUUGAGAGAGAGCUGAUUUUUAUCUAUUUUGUGUAUGGCAGCUAUUCUUAAUCUAUUCAUCAGUAGAUAAUUUAUCUCAUUUAUUUUAUUUCCAAGUUCUUGGACAAGGGAGUACAGGGAAGUUUCCCAUAAGGACCUCUCCAGAUAUAAAAUAUGAUAAGAUAGAAGGCCUUUGGCUCUGGAAAUAGAAGCUGCAAAUAUAAUUUAUGAAGAAAAAUGGCUUAGAGAUUAAGAAAUUUUUACCAUCUUUUUUAUGAAGUAAUUACUGCCAAUUGUAUCAACUU